AUACGGAGGGUGCGAGCGUUAAUCGGAAUUACUGGGCGUAAAGCGUGCGUAGGCGGUUUGCUAAGUCAGAUGUGAAAGCCCCGGGCUUAACCUGGGAACUGCAUUUGAUACUGGCAGACUAGAGUAUGAUAGAGGGGGGUAGAAUUCCUGGUGUAGCGGUGAAAUGCGUAGAUAUCAGGAGGAAUACCAGUGGCGAAGGCGGCCCCCUGGAUCAAUACUGAUGCUGAGGUACGAAAGCGUGGGGAGCGAACAGGAUUAGAAACCCUAGUAGUCC
rnacentral:rRNA from 1 species